UGAGAGGUGUCAUUCUGGAGACAGUGA
rnacentral:piRNA from 1 species